UCAGAAGUGCGAAUGCUGACAUAAGUAACGAUAAAGCGGGUGAAAAGCCCGCUCGCCGGAAGACCAAGGGUUCCUGUCCAACGUUAAUCGGGGCAGGGUGAGUCGACCCCUAAGGCGAGGCCGAAAGGCGUAGUCGAUGGGAAACAGGUUAAUAUUCCUGUACUUGGUGUUACUGCGAAGGGGGGACGGAGAAGGCUAUGUUGGCCGGGCGACGGUUGUCCCGGUUUAAGCGUGUAGGCUGGUUUUCCAGGCAAAUCCGGAAAAUCAAGGCUGAGGCGUGAUGACGAGGCACUACGGUGCUGAAGCAACAAAUGCCCUGCUUCCAGGAAAAGCCUCUAAGCAUCAGGUAACAUCAAAUCGUACCCCAAACCGACACAGGUGGUCAGGUAGAGAAUACCAAGGCGCUUGAGAGAACUCGGGUGAAGGAACUAGGCAAAAUGGUGCCGUAACUUCGGGAGAAGGCACGCUGAUACGUAGGUGAAGUCCCUUGCGGAUGGAGCUGAAAUCAGUCGAAGAUACCAGCUGGCUGCAACUGUUUAUUAAAAACACAGCACUGUGCAAACACGAAAGUGGACGUAUACGGUGUGACGCCUGCCCGGUGCCGGAAGGUUAAUUGAUGGGGUUAGCGGUAACGCGAAGCUCUUGAUCGAAGCCCCGGUAAACGGCGGCCGUAACUAUAACGGUCCUAAGGUAGCGAAAUUCCUUGUCGGGUAAGUUCCGACCUGCACGAAUGGCGUAAUGAUGGCCAGGCUGUCUCCACCCGAGACUCAGUGAAAUUGAACUCGCUGUGAAGAUGCAGUGUACCCGCGGCAAGACGGAAAGACCCCGUGAACCUUUACUAUAGCUUGACACUGAACAUUGAGCCUUGAUGUGUAGGAUAGGUGGGAGGCUUUGAAGUGUGGACGCCAGUCUGCAUGGAGCCGACCUUGAAAUACCACCCUUUAAUGUUUGAUGUUCUAACGUUGACCCGUAAUCCGGGUUGCGGACAGUGUCUGGUGGGUAGUUUGACUGGGGCGGUCUCCUCCUAAAGAGUAACGGAGGAGCACGAAGGUUGGCUAAUCCUGGUCGGACAUCAGGAGGUUAGUGCAAUGGCAUAAGCCAGCUUGACUGCGAGCGUGACGGCGCGAGCAGGUGCGAAAGCAGGUCAUAGUGAUCCGGUGGUUCUGAAUGGAAGGGCCAUCGCUCAACGGAUAAAAGGUACUCCGGGGAUAACAGGCUGAUACCGCCCAAGAGUUCAUAUCGACGGCGGUGUUUGGCACCUCGAUGUCGGCUCAUCACAUCCUGGGGCUGAAGUAGGUCCCAAGGGUAUGGCUGUUCGCCAUUUAAAGUGGUACGCGAGCUGGGUUUAGAACGUCGUGAGACAGUUCGGUCCCUAUCUGCCGUGGGCGCUGGAGAACUGAGGGGGGCUGCUCCUAGUACGAGAGGACCGGAGUGGACGCAUCACUGGUGUUCGGGUUGUCAUGCCAAUGGCACUGCCCGGUAGCUAAAUGCGGAAGAGAUAAGUGCUGAAAGCAUCUAAGCACGAAACUUGCCCCGAGAUGAGUUCUCCCUGACUCCUUGAGAGUCCUGAAGGAACGUUGAAGACGACGACGUUGAUAGGCCGGGUGUGUAAGCGCAGCGAUGCGUUGAGCUAACCGGUACUAAUGAACCGUGAGGCUUAACCUUACAACGCCGAAG
rnacentral:rRNA from 1 species